GCUGAAGUUUGAUAGCUCAGUUGGUAGAGCAUGAGACUCUUAAUCUCAGGGGUGUGGGUUUGAGCCCCACGUUGGGCA